rnacentral:rRNA from 1 species
UUUAUCGGAGAGUUUGAUCCUGGCUCAGGACGAACG